rnacentral:rRNA from 1 species
CAGUAGCCGCGGUAAUACGGAGGGUGCAAGCGUUACUCGGAAUCACUGGGCGUAAAGGACGCGUAGGCGGAUUAUCAAGUCUCUUGUGAAAUCUAACGGCUUAACCGUUAAACUGCUUGGGAAACUGAUAAUCUAGAGUAAGGGAGAGGCAGAUGGAAUUCUUGGUGUAGGGGUAAAAUCCGUAGAUAUCAAGAAGAAUACCUAUUGCGAAGGCGAUCUGCUGGAACUUAACUGACGCUAAUGCGUGAAAGCGUGGGGAGCAAACAGGAUUAGAUACCCCCGUAGUCCCUGUCUCUUAUAC